rnacentral:tRNA from 1 species
GAGGGUAUAGCUCAAGUGGUAGAGUGCAUGCUUAGCAUACACAGAGUCCUGGGUUUGAUCCCCAGUACCUCUU